AAAUAAGAAGCAAAAUUUGCAUUUAAUUUCGACUUAAAAAUUAGAGUAAAAUAAUACUCCUUAUUUA
rnacentral:tRNA from 1 species